UAAGCUUUGUGCACCUUCGUCUUUUUCAGGUCACCUGAAUGCAUUCAUUGUGACGUCGGCGUAACCUUAGGAGCCCACCACGUAUAUCUACCCAUGGCGACAGUCUAGCUUGAAGCAUUUAAGCAAUGCUACUUUUUAAAACACCGGACGGCAAGACACAAGAAACAAGAAUCUGGCGUCGGAAGACUAAGGUGCCGAAACAAACGAUUGGUAUUCUGGCGGUUAUGAACGUUCACGUAGUGGGAAUUUUGUUGGCAGCGCACAUUGCACUUGUGGCAACCGAUCUUCAGGAGUACUGCCCCUUUAGAAGAAGCAGUAGAGGAUGUAUAUAUAGUGGUCACGUUAUUCCUCCGGCACAAAGCAGGAACCUGCGUCGUCCCUGUGUACAUGCUGAAUGCAGCAGCAAUGGGCACAGACUUACGUUGACGGGGUGCCAAGAAACCGCCGGAAACUGUUCGGCAGCCCCGGGGGGGCCAAGUAUUGAUACAAGAGAAUGGCCUCGCUGCUGCGCUAAUUGCCCCCGAGUACAGAUACAUGGUUAAAAAGACGCGGCUGAGGAUUGACGCAGUCCAACGAAAGCAUCAUGCCUCCAUAAACGUGAUAGCGUGCGGCAUGAAGGAUGCCCGUAGGUUUAUUUGGUAUAAUGGUAGCCAGCAUCACGAUGUCUAGCACAUUGUGCUUAAUAAAGGACUUUCCACGUAUGG